rnacentral:rRNA from 1 species
UACGUAGGGUGCAAGCGUGUCCGGAAUUAUUGGGCGUAAAGAGCUCGUAGGCGGUUUGUCGCGUCUGCUGUGAAAACCCGAGGCUCAACCUGGGAACUGCAUUUGUGACUGCAUAGCUAGAGUACGGUAGAGGGGGAUGGAAUUCCGCGUGUAGCAGUGAAAUGCGUAGAGAUGUGGAGGAACACCGAUGGCGAAGGCAGCCCCCUGGGUCAAGACUGACGCUCGAUGCACGAAAGCGUGGGGAGCAAACAGG